UGUUUGGUUUUUUUUUUCCAAUUUCAGUUCUUGGAGGAUGUUGUUCUUAUCUGAGGGCUGAGAGCUCAGAAAAGCCUCUUCUCCAUGCUGAUUCAAUUCACCCAUGAGAUCUCAAUAGUUCAAAGAUGUCCCUCAGACUUGGUUGUGAACUUCUGGUCUUACUUCGAUCUUGAUCAGGAUCCUGAAUUAGGAUUUGGACAUUGCCUUCCAUUGCAGGUACUCAUGACUGAGAAAUCUCCUGACAGUUAUGAAGAUCUGGGAGGCAAAAUGGGAUAAUUUGUGGAAGGCUAUAUGGUUAUAAGGAAAUUCCUAUGUAUUUAUAAAUUAAUUCCUUUUCUUCCUUACAAUAUGCCAUGUCUAAUAAAAAUACAUGAUUGCAAAACUGAAAUUUGAAU
rnacentral:lncRNA from 1 species